AUGCUCUACAAAAUCCACUCCCAUGCCGAAAUCCAAGCCCUGCAGGCCCGCACCGAUGAGCUGGGCCACUCCAAUGAGCACAUGGAUGUGAAGCUUGUCUCUCUGGAGUCGGUGCGCAUAGCGCGCGAGUCGUAUGCACUCCUCCGCCCGCUGAUCAUGGAGUCGAGGUCCUGGGAAUGCCCGGAGCUGGAUUCCCUCUCGGACGUGGCAGGCUUGUCGCUGGAAAUCCAAAAGCUCGAGCAUGAUGUGUUACCCCAGCUCACGGUUCAGGAGGCUAAGCUGGAACGGGGUGCCCUGGAAGCCCUCCUACUCAUGAAGAGCUCAGCAGCUAAGCUCUUACCUAUGAGUAAGUGCUUGAAGGAAGCCUUGGGCGUAGUGCUUGCCGAGGAUGUCAAAAUGCUGAGCAUAGUGCUAAGCGAUACUGCUGUUCAUGUACUCAAAGGUAAGUUCAACAGUGGCUUGCUUCAGGAGCGUGUCCCGUGGCUGGUCGAGCUGGUCACCGAUGUGUUGGAGACCCCGGUUCGUUUCUGUGAUACUCGUAAGCGUAAGUAUUCUGAUGAGUAG
rnacentral:rRNA from 1 species